rnacentral:lncRNA from 1 species
AAUGUACGGGGCAGCUGUAGGAGGGAAGGACUCACUGUCCUUCGGGAGCAUUACAUUUCAUUUCUUCCGAAAACCCCUCUCCUCCGGGCCUGCCUGCCCAGCUGUGACUGCAGUGCAGAGACCGUUCCACCGGGCCCAAGUGAGUGAGCAAGCAGACAGGGAACCGCAGGCGAGCUCCACCUCUAGACGAACACUAGCCAGCAGUCAGGGCACCAGUCUGGCCCGUGAGGUUCAAGACUGCUCCGAAUUCAGAACGGCACAUGCUACGAGACAGUCCCCGAGCACCUCCCAUCACAAGGCCGGAGGCAGCGGGGUGAGGGGGAGAAGGCGCAAGCUGUUUAAUUCUUGCAAGUGUUGGUCGUCAUCACGGGUGAAUUUACAGCCCAGGCUGCCAAAGAGAGGGGAGGCGUCGGUGAGUUCAGGCCUUUCCUCUCCUUACCCUGAGAGGUGGUAAUCCUGCAGUGAGAGCAUGAGACUCGGAACCUCUCGGUUGCCUUCCCUCCGUGUCGUUGCCCCGGCAAAGGCAGCCGAGGGGGGCUGCACAGACGACGGAGCUGGGCUGUUCCCAGCGGGGGCAGAUGGCAGGACAAGGAGCAAUGGGCUCAAGCUGCCGCAGGAGAAGUUGAGGUUGGAUAUUAGGAAAAACUCUCUCAGGAGGAGGAUGGUGAAGCACUGGAACACAUCACCCAGAGAAGUGGUGGAGUCUCCAUCCUUGGAGGUUUUGAAGACCCAACUCAACAAAACUUGGCUGGGGUGACAUAGUUGGGGCUGGUCCUGCUUUGAACAGGGGGUUGGUGACUCCUGAGGUCCCUUCCAGCCCUCAUUUUCUAUGAGGAGUGGAGCAGGAAACUCAAAACAUGAAUCCCUUUUCUCCUAAUGUCUGAAGUGGAUAAUGCCAAAGGCAAAAUGAAGGAAGAAAUGUGUGUGUGCGUGUGUGAGAGAGAGAGAGAGAGCCAGAGAGAGAGAGAGCAGCCUAUUAGAUCAACUUUCCCCCCUUUGCAAGUUGGGCAGGUCAAACGGGAUUUUUGGCUGCUGACAUCAGAGCUCUCAUUGAACACCAGGCAACACAAAACCAAGCUGUUCACACUGCAGAAGGGCCAAGGAGCCAGGCCCAAGGCUGGGAUUACUGACCCCCCACCGUGCCCCCACCCACACGAACAGGAUGCUCCUGAGGACAGAGCAGGUCCUUCCGGGUGAUUUCCAUGCUGGGUUGUGUGCGCAUUCCCCACCCCACCCUCCUCCUGGGGCAGCUCUGUGCCUCAUCUGGUUUCGCUUCUCAUUCUUGACAAUUAGAAAGCACAGUUUUAAUUAAAACCUCCCUUGUUAGGCUAGCAGCUGCUGCGCCCUCAUUGUCGUGUCAGGCACAGGGCACAAUGCAGGCAGGAGCGGGGUCCUGGGCCUGGUUCAGGCCCUGCAGCCACUGACCCCUUGCUUGGCUCUUCGACAGGCCUUGC